rnacentral:sRNA from 1 species
AUUCUGUGACAAGACCCCGGAGAAGCUAGAUCUCUCAUGGACUAUGGGAAGUUUUCACCCCCUUUUAUUGUUGGGGACAGUGAAUUGAAUGUGGCAUUGGAUUCGGGGCUUUUUGUAUUAAGAGAUUUUUGUCAAGUCAUUCAUUAUAAUGGAGCUAACAAGGAUGACGGCUAUUCGACUUUUGUCUGACUGUGUUCAUCAGAAACUGACCUGUGCAGAGAAAGAACAACUUGUAAACGCUGGUCCCAACAAGACCGCUAAGAGAACGUGCCUAAAUUCAUGUAUUGGUAAAAAAUCAAUGGAAAUUAAAGCACUUGGUAAGAUUCAGUUGUGCAUACCUUGAAAGAUAGUUUUCUCAUUUUUAGAGAAAGUUUCUAAAACUUUUAUUUUUCAUGAAAAAGAAAUUUAAACUUUGUGAUUGAUUUAUUUUUCAAAAUUAAAGAAUUAUAUAUUUGGGGUUGUUUAGCAUGUUUAGUUCAUGAAGUUUGUAAUUCUCAGAAUGCUUUGUUAAAAAUUAUUCCAAAUAUCUGAGGGAUAAUAUAUAGGCCUACGGUAAACCAUGUUAAAUAUUUUUAUGUAAUUUAUACAGAUCUAAAUAUUACAUCAAAUGUUUGAAAUUUCCUUCCGUGCCAUUUGGUGCAUUGUAGGUGAAUUAAUUGUAGAGUGUGCUAAAUCCUUUAAGCAUAGAUUUGUGUCGGCCGUCUGUAAUUAAAAAAGUUUCAAGUGUUGAAGAGUGGAUUAGGUGUAAAAACAUGUAGAACAUCAAACUAAUUUGAAGAGGAAAUUGAUUUUUUGAUUGGCAAUGUAGAUAUAUAUUCACAGAUUGUUUCUAUCUCUUGCAAAUCAAAUUUUGAAUAAUUAUAUGCAUGCGAGUUUGUUUUGAAGUGGAUGUGAACUUAGUUUAUUCGAUCAAUAAAUGAAUUAUGUCCUCCUUUCAAGACCUCGAGAAUUUAAAAUACUCUGUUAUCUUAAAGCAUCCCAAUAAGUGCGCGUUAAUGAAGAAUGCAUAUUUGUUUGACA